GGGGACGAAACGGCUUCGACGAAUUGCGACGAAGGUUGGGGCUGCAUGCCGGGAUCCUCACUACCCCGAAAUUAGUGGGAAAAAUCGGUUUAAAUGCCGACUAUGAUUAUGCAAUGGCUGCUUAAUUUUAAUUAAGCGUUAAAGCCCGUUCACCACGACUCGCACCCAUCCGGGAAGUGGAUGAACGCCGACUCUGAUGGGUCUUUCAUUAAUGCCGCCCGGGCGUUGAUGAUCGUAUAAUCCGGGCUAGCGUAACGAAGGCUCGCCGGACUGCCCGCGAUGCGCAAAACUCAACCGUUCGGCUAAGCAUGUAGACGCACUGGCAAUCUCCUUUUCGGACCCGGGUUCGACUCCCGGCGUCUCCACAA
rnacentral:tmRNA from 1 species